rnacentral:rRNA from 1 species
CGGGGUGAGUAAUGUCUGGGAAACUGCCUGAUGGAGGGGGGUAACUACUGGAAACGGUAGCUAAUACCGCAUAACGUCGCAAGACCAAAGUGGGGGGACCUUCGGGGCCUCAUGCCAUAAGAUGUGCCCAGAUGGGAUUAGCUAGUAGGUGGGGUAACGGCUCACCUAGGCGACGAUCCCUAGCUGGUCUGAGAGGAUGACCAGCCACACUGGAACUGAGACACGGUCCAG